rnacentral:lncRNA from 1 species
GCUCUGAGAUGGAAUAACAGCAAUCUUUCUAAGGUCCAGGAGUGUACAGAGCUGACCUGUUUUCCAGUGCUCAUUUCCUUCCCAACCCCUCGCUCUAACCUCCUCUUGUCUCGUUGGAUUUCAUUUGGUUUUGUUUCACUUUUCAGCACAGACCCUUCCUUGCUCGGCCCGUGCCUCAUCUGGACAGAAUUGCAGGCUUAUCCUCUCCCACCUGAUGGAUAAUUUCCUGCACGACACAUUGCAAGACAAUCUGAAAAAUCAGACCCAGAGUUCCUGUCGUGGCCCAGCAGAAAUGAAUCCGACUGGGAACCAUGGGGUUGAGGGUUCGAUCCCUGGCCUUGUUCAGUGGAUUGUGGAUCUGAAAUUGCUGUGAGUUGUGGUGUGGGUCGCAGAUGUGGCUUGGAUCUGGU